rnacentral:misc_RNA from 1 species
UCCAGCUUAUCGCUGGCGGUCUCCUGCGAGUUCCGCCUUUCGGCAUGGCAACACAGGACAAGGGUUGCGCUCGUUGCGGGACUUAACCCAACAUCUCACGACACGAGCUGACGACAGCCAUGCAGCACCUCGACCGGACCCCCUUGCGGGGUAACCAUGUUUCCACAGUCGUUGACCGGCCGUUCGAGCCCAGGUAAGGUUCUUCGCGUUGCGUCGAAUUGAACCACAUGCUCCACCGCUUGUGCGGGCCCCCGUCAAUUCCUUUGAGUUUCAGCCUUGCGACUGUACUCCCCAGGCGGCAUAUUUAACGCGUUAGCUCCGGCACGGACAGAAUGAACUGCCCACACCAAAUAUGCAUCGUUUAGGGCGUGGACUAC